rnacentral:lncRNA from 1 species
AUGGUUUUAGCUUUUCAUCUAUAGUAAAACCAGAAUCGAAUCUAGGUCUCAGUCCUUAAAAUUUAUUCAAGGAAUUCCAACUCUGCUACUGAUCUUCUAUAAUCCACUUUUACUUUAAUGUCAAUCAGAUAUAGCAUGAUAUAGCAUUAGCUUACAUCCUGAAAUUUUGAAUUCAGUUCUGGAUCUGAGAUUUAUAUUUUCUCUGGAAGAAUCUUGGCUUAUUGAACUAAAUUAUUUAACUGAUUCCCACUCUAUUAUAAGUGUGAAUGGCCCAUGGUUGGUACUGGUAUACUUUGUCAAAUUAUGGGGUAUAAGUAAUCAAUAGGAUGCUUAAGUUAGUUUUUGUUAAGCUGCUUUAUUGCAAAUGGCAUAUGUUGUUUUGUAUCUGGCAGUAACUAGUUUUAGAAUCACAGUCAAGCUACCAUUCAUGAUUGCAUCAAUCAGAGGAUUGAAGGACAGGAUUCAAUGGAAUGGGCCCAAUCCCUUCCUGAAAUCUGGAGAUGUGGGAUUCAGAUUUGAGCCAAGAUUCUCCAAGGUAGUAAGCAAACGCUUUAACAUGCAGCAAUAGACGAUAGCAAUAGGAUGGAAAGCACAAAAACGAGAGAAUAACAUAUUAUAUCAAUAGUUUUUGAUAAUGUUCUGAAUGAAUUCUUAUGAACAAUUGAACUAGAAAAAGAAGAAAAGUUAGAGAAAGUUACAGGUUAUAGCCUUGUUUUUAAUAGAAAGAACAUCUUAUUCAAUGUAUUACAGAAUGAUAAAGAUAAAAUUGAUCCCUUCUCCCUCCUGGGUGUAUA